AGUGAACGCUGGCGGUAGACCUAACACAUGCAAGUCGAACGGCAGCACAGUAAGAGCUUGCUCUUACGGGUGGCGAGUGGCGGACGGGUGAGGAAUACAUCGGAAUCUACUUUUUCGUGGGGGAUAACGUAGGGAAACUUACGCUAAUACAGCAUACGACCUACGGGUGAAAGCAGGGGAUCUUCGGACCUUGCGCGAUUGAAUGAGCCGAUGUCGGAUUAGCUAGUUGGCGGGGUAAAGGCCCACCAAGGCGACGAUCCGUAGCUGGUCUGAGAGGAUGAUCAGCCACACUAGAACUGAGACACGGUCCAGACUCCUACGGGAGGCAGCAGUGGGGAAUAUUGGACAGUAGUGGCAAGCCUGAUCCAGCCAUACCGCGUGGGUGAAGAAGGCCUUCGGGUUGUAAAGCCCUUUUGUUGGGAAAGAAAAGCAGCAGGUUAAUACCCCGCUGUUCUGACGGUACCCAAAGAAUAAGCACCGGCUAACUUCGUG
rnacentral:rRNA from 1 species